CGGGCCCGGGCGGGGCCGAGCGCUGUCAGCGGUGCCGGGGUCGCUGGGGCUUUCGGGACAGCCGUGAGGGGCUUUGGGGACGCCCGUGAGGGGAAAGGCUGCGAUCUUGGGGGUCUGAGGAUGGCGGACACCCGUGAGGGGUUCAGAGGGCUCCCAGAUCUUUAGCUGGGCUAAAGGGGAAUCUGCUGACAAGGUGCUGAAAACUCCAGGCUUGGGCUGUUUUCACCUGCCAGCCCAAGUAUUCUACGAAACAAACCUGAUCAACUUGCUAAAUCAGGCUCUGACAACUCCUUACAGAAAGGUAAGAGGGAGGAAGUGGUGGAAGCAGGAGCUGUGCAUUGUGCCACCCGAGUGCCACUGUCCCCAGGGCCACCUGUCCCUGCCAGGAGCAGCAAGGUGAGGAGCAGCCAGGUUUAAUUCCAGAAGGAAACAUUCCAGCUCCUGAGUGCCACUGUCCCCAAAGCCAGGAGGAUCAAGGUGGACAAAAGAGGAGGAGCAGCCAGGUUCAAUUCCAGAAGGAAACAUUCCAGCUCCUGUCACUGUCCCCAGAGCCAUGUGUCCUGUCCCUGCUAGGAGCAGCAAGGUGAGGAGCAGCCAGGUUCAAUUCCAGAAGGAAACAUUCCAGCUCCUGUCACUGUCCCCAGAGCCACCUGUCCCCAAAGCCAAGAGGAGCAGGGUGGGCACAAGGUGAGGAGCAGCCAGGUUCAAUUCCAGAAGGAAACAUUCCAGCUCCUGAGUGCCACUGUCCCCAAAGCCAGGAGGAUCAAGGUGGGCACAAGGUGAGGAGCAGCCAGGUUUAAUUCCAGAAGGAAACAUCCCAGCUCCUGUCACUGUCCCCAGAGCCCCCUGUCCCUGCCAGGGGAGCAAGGUGAGGAGCAGCCAGGUUUAAUUCCAGAAGGAAACAUUCCAGCUCCUGUGGAACUCGUGGGGUCUGGGGGCUGAGUGUCCGUGGGGCGUCUGUUGGCGCCACUUAAACCACGCUGGAAUAUUUUGGGUUUUUCCUGGAAACCCAACGCCCUCAGGAGGAGAAAUGCCAAGUUGGCCGUUGUCUCUUUGGCAGAGGCUGUUCCUUUAUCCUGUGGGGAACGUCCCAG